UGUGGAUCGUUAGAUUGGUUGAUUGGUGAUGUAUCAAGCGCCAAAUUUCUAAAUGAUCGCCACAUAUUUAUCUUCGGUUGCAGGGAAAGACUUUCGGGGGUUCCGCUAGUCUUUACAAGCACCAAAAGGUGAGUCUUACUGAACAUUCUCUCUCGCGUAGUUAACAUUGAUUGGGUGUUUCAGUUUACUUAUUGUUAUCGGACCAAUAAAGAUGUGAUUGGCAAAUAACGAUGUAUUCCAAUCGAUCUCACUAGUUUUGACACCAAUCUAAAAUUCGGCACACUUGCAAGUUUCAUUUUCCCAAUUGUGUUUUCUGACUUUCCUUUUCUCGUUUUCUACUCCUUUUUCCCCUUAUUUUUCUAUUCCUUUCCGUCCAUGAGUUAGAUAAGCUAGGGAACAAGGUCAGAUGGAAACAAAAUAAGUGGAAGAACUUCAUUAUGCAGAAGAAAUGUCAUCGUUUAGUUUCUUAUAAUUUUUUUUUAAAAAAAUGCCUUAUACGUUUCACACGUCUUUUUAAAUGGGGUGUGAAUUGUUCAGAUAAAUUUGUAUCUUUACUUAAAAUAAUAUCGAUUUCUUACUUAUACUUUGGAGAUAAGGUUGGUACUUUGCAAUUUUCAUACAUAAGACAGGAAGCUAAAUGAAUCACAUAUUUGUUUCAUGUGUCGUAGACACUUUGCUCAUUGUAUGCAAAGAACGCAUUCUUAGAGCAUAAUUCACGUGGUCAACCAAUUUAACUCCGGUGGAGUCGAGUUAUUUACUUAGGAUGAUUCUGCGAUGUUAACUGCCAAGUCACUUGUGCUCGAUCAUGUAUGAUGUACAUGUAGACUUACUAAUUGAAUCAACAAGUAACAUAGAGCAGGUCUCAAGGUUCUUAUCUUCAGAACUUUGACUAGAUAAGAGUGAGUCCGAGCCAUACUCUCUCCUUUUCUUUACAGUUUUCUUGACGCAAACAUCCACAAACAUGAAUUCAACUUUUAAGCGGAUUUGCAAAUAAUUGUAGUAAAUCCAAAAUCAAUCAAACAAACAUGAAUUAAAUUUGAUCUCACUUAAUUUAAAACCCACUCAACGCAAGUGUCUUUUAUUCUCAGCUCGUGUAAUCUCAUUUUCUUUUCCUUUUUUCAGUUCUUCUUUUCUUUUAAUGUAUUAAGAAAGCUCCAUUUGUGCAGCAAGUCUAAAGGACAAGGUCAGUUUUUAUGACAAAUGACUGGAGAAACUUCAAUGUCUAGAGGAAACAUAUAGAAUAGCCCAAAGUCUCUCAAUCAAAUUUUCUUUUCAUUUUAUGUGGAGCAAAUUGUAUAGUUUAGCGUAAUUUUUAUGUAAUAGACUCCACUUUAUUGUGCAUUUCUUACUUAAAAUCAUUAACUAUGGAGAUGAGUUUGGUGAUUUGCGAUUUUUACAAUGAACUCUAAAAGAAUUAGAUACUCAUUGCACCACUCAAAACAGCUUUGCUACCGGAGUUGUUUCAAGAAGACAACUUACAUAGUCCACCCAUCUACUGUUCCAGUGACCUAUGUCCUUGAUGGAAUUGGGUGCUCCUCGAAUUUUUGCAUGUGGUUGGGGCCAGCCAAGUAGGAUGUGCGUUCCAAUAGCACCUCAAAUACUUAUUUUAGAUUGUACAGUUUGAUUAAAGGCCACUUUACACAGGAACAGGAAAGCGACUUCAAAGAGGAACAGGAAUCGAAUCAGAGGAGAGGCUGGGGAGAGUGUCAUUCCAUCGCCCGAGCUUCAAUAGUUUUCUCCACUGCGUCCUCCCCGUUUUUUUUCCGUUUGAUUAUAAGUGACUUCAAAUAGGAAUCAAAGCAGAGGAGAGGGCUGAGGAGGGUGUCGUUCCAGUGCCUGAGCUUCAACAUAAUGUGAUGUUGGUUGUGGUAAAGAUGGCAAUCUAGAACUGGAGAGGACUUUCGCCAUCAAGUCAGAACGACAGUUGGCAGAAAGCAGAGCUGGAGCGUAUCAGAAGCACUCGAAUAGCUAUCACCGUUGGCCGGGAAUAAAGGCCACCUUGUCCGUAAUGUAUUCGUAACCUAUUGUUUUGCCUACAGGGCAUUUGUUUCGUUAAUUAGUAUUUGCUUUUGAGUUCUGCUUUGGGUUUCAACCAAUAUGCACUUGAAGAAUGUGGCCCGUUCAUCAAUUUUCAGAUGACUUCAUAGAUGAUUUGAAACUCUGGAGCUUAAUCAAGGCGUGUCAUGUUUUUUAUUAUUCUAAUUAACAGAUAUGUGAUUGUGCAUCUUAUG
rnacentral:lncRNA from 1 species